rnacentral:rRNA from 1 species
CCCGCUGAACUUAAGCAUAUCAAUAAGCGGAGGAAAAGAAACCAACAGGGAUUGCCUCAGUAACGGCGAGUGAAGCGGCAACAGCUCAAAUUUGAAAUCUGGCUCUUUCAGGGUCCGAGUUGUAAUUUGUAGAAGAUGCUUCGGGCGUGGUGCCGGUCUAAGUUCCUUGGAACAGGACGUCAUAGAGGGUGAGAAUCCCGUACGUGACUGGCUACCUUCGCCUGUGUGAAGCUCUUUCGACGAGUCGAGUUGUUUGGGAAUGCAGCUCAAAAUGGGUGGUAAAUUUCAUCUAAAGCUAAAUAUUGGCCAGAGACCGAUAGCGCACAAGUAGAGUGAUCGAAAGAUGAAAAGCACUUUGGAAAGAGAGUUAAACAGUACGUGAAAUUGCUGAAAGGGAAACGCUUGAAGUCAGUCGCGUUGUCCGGGGAUCAACCUUGCUUUUGCUGGGCGUACUUCCCGGUUGACGGGUCAGCAUCAAUUUUGACCGUUGGAUAAAGUCUAGGGGAAUGUGGCAUCUUCGGAUGUGUUAUAGCCCUUGGUCGCAUACAACGGUUGGGAUUGAGGAACUCAGCGCGCCGCAAGGCCGGGUAUUCGUACCACGUUCGUGCUUAGGAUGCUGGCAUAAUGGCUUUAAUCGACCCGUCUUGAAACACGG